CCUACGGGAGGCUGCAGUGAGGAAUAUUGGUCAAUGGCCGUAAGGCUGAACCAGCCAAGUAGCGUGAGGGAAGACUGCCCUAUGGGUUGUAAACCUCUUUUAUGCGGGGAUAAAGGUGUCCACGUGUGGAUGUUUGCAGGUACCGCAUGAAUAAGGACCGGCUAAUUCCGUGCCAGCAGCCGCGGUAAUACGGAGGGUCCGGGCGUUAUCCGGAUUUAUUGGGUUUAAAGGGAGCGUAGGCGGGCAUUUAAGCGUGCCGUGAAAUUUUGUGGCUCAACCGUGGAAGUGCGGCUGAAACUGGAGACCUUGAGUGCGGGGAAGGCAGGCGGAAUUCGUGGUGUAGCGGUGAAAUGCUUAGAUAUCACGAAGAACCCCGAUUGCGAAGGCAGCCUGCCGAAGCGUUACUGACGCUGAAGCUCGAAAGCGCGGGUAUCGAACAGGAUUAGAUACCCGUGUAGUC
rnacentral:rRNA from 1 species